AAUCAACGCUGGCGGCGUGCCUCAGACAUGCAAGUCGAACGCGAAAGUCCCCUUCGGGGGACAAGUAGAGUGGCGCACGGGUGAGUAACACGUAGGUAAUCUACCUUUGGAUGGGGAAUAACAACCGGAAACGGUUGCUAAUACCGCAUAAUGCAGCGGCACCUAAUGGUGACAGUUGUUAAAGCGGGGGAUCGAAAGACCUCGCGUCUAAAGAGGAGCCUGCGGCGGAUUAGCUAGUUGGUAAGGAAUGGCUUACCAAGGCUACGAUCCGUAACCGGCCUGAGAGGGCGGUCGGUCACACUGACACUGACAUACGGGUCAGACUCCUACGGGAGGCAGCAGGUCGGGAAUUUUGGGCAAUGGGCGAAAGCCUGACCCAGCAACGCCGCGUGAAGGAUG
rnacentral:rRNA from 1 species